rnacentral:rRNA from 1 species
CCUACGGGCGGCAGCAGUGAGGAAUAUUGGUCAAUGGACGAGAGUCUGAACCAGCCAAGUAGCGUGAAGGAUGACUGCCCUAUGGGUUGUAAACUUCUUUUAUAAAGGAAUAAAACGCGGCACGUGUGCCUUUUUGCAUGUACUUCAUGAAUAAGGAUCGGCUAACUCCGUGCCAGCAGCCGCGGUAAUACGGAGGAUCCGAGCGUUAUCCGGAUUUAUUGGGUUUAAAGGGAGCGUAGAUGGGUUGUUAAGUCAGUUGUGAAAGUUUGCGGCUCAACCGUAAAAUUGCAAUUGAUACUGGCAGUCUUGAGUACAGUUGAGGUAGGCGGAAUUCGUGGUGUAGCGGUGAAAUGCUUAGAUAUCACGAAGAACCCCGAUUGCGAAGGCAGCUUACUAAACUGUGACUGACAUUGAUGCUCGAAGGUGUGGGUAUCGAACAGGAUUAGAUACCCUAGUAGUC